AAUAAAUAUAAUUUUGCACUGUUUAUGUCCAACGUUUAACCUUUCAUCUUAUUUGAAAAUUUUUUAGGAUUACUAUUUUUAUUUUUAUUAGAUGAUAAAAUAUGAAUAGUAUUUUUAUAUGUGAUUCAUUUUUUUAAAAAAAUUUCAUAAUUUUUUCAACUAAAACGAACGGUCAAACGCUGGACAUGGAUAUCCAUGACUGCAUUUAUC
rfam:Oryza glumipatula chromosome 8, whole genome shotgun sequence.